UACAGAGGUCCCAAGCGUUGUUCGGAUUCAUUGGGCGUAAAGGGUGCGUAGGCGGCGCGGUAAGUCGGGUGUGAAAUCUCGGAGCUUAACUCCGAAACUGCACUCGAUACUGCCGUGCUUGAGGACUGGAGAGGAGACUGGAAUUUACGGUGUAGCGGUGAAAUGCGUAGAUAUCGUAAGGAAGACCAGUGGCGAAGGCGGGUCUCUGGACAGUUCCUGACGCUGAGGCACGAAGGCCAGGGGAGCAAACGGG
rnacentral:rRNA from 1 species